rnacentral:misc_RNA from 1 species
GAUGAAGAACGUAGCGAAAUGCGAUAAGUAGUGUGAAUUGCAGAAUUCAGUGAAUCAUCGAAUCUUUGAACGCACAUUGCGCCCUUUGGUAUUCCAAAGGGCAUGCCUGUUCGAGCGUCAUUUGUACCCUCAAGCUUUGCUUGGUGUUGGGCGUCUUGUCUCCAGUUCGCUGGAGACUCGCCUUAAAGUAAUUGGCAGCCGGCCUACUGGUUUCGGAGCGCAGCACAAGUCGCGCUCUCUUCCAGCCAAGGUCAGCAUCCACAAAGCCUUUUUUCAACUUUUGACCUCGGAUCAGGUAGGGAUGCCCGCUGAACUUAAGCAUAUCAAUAAGCGGAGGA